rnacentral:rRNA from 1 species
CGACUAAGCGUACACGGUGGAUGCCCUGGCAGUCAGAGGCGAUGAAGGGCGUGCUAAUCUGCGAUAAGCGCCGGUAAGGUGAUAUGAACCGUUAUAACCGGCGAUACCCGAAUGGGGAAACCCAGUGUGACUCGUCACACUAUCAUUAACUGAAUCCAUAGGUUAAUGAGGCGAACCGGGGGAACUGAAACAUCUAAGUACCCCGAGGAAAAGAAAUCAACCGAGAUUCCCCCAGUAGCGGCGAGCGAACGGGGAGGAGCCCAGAGCCUGAAUCAGCAUGUGUGUUAGUGGAAGCGUCUGGAAAGGCGCGCGAUACAGGGUGACAGCCCCGUACACAAAAGCGCAUGUGCUGUGAGCUCGAUGAGUAGGGCGGGACACGUGGUAUCCUGUCUGAAUAUGGGGGGACCAUCCUCCAAGGCUAAAUACUCCUGACUGACCGAUAGUGAACCAGUACCGUGAGGGAAAGGCGAAAAGAACCCCGGCGAGGGGAGUGAAAAAGAACCUGAAACCGUGUACGUACAAGCAGUGGGAGCACCCUUUGGGUGUGACUGCGUACCUUUUGUAUAAUGGGUCAGCGACUUAUAUUCUGUAGCAAGGUUAACCGAAUAGGGGAGCCGGAGGGAAACCGAGUCUUAAC